rnacentral:rRNA from 1 species
GGGACGAACGCUGGCGGCGUGCUUAACACACGCAAGUCGAACGGUGAAGGAGAGCUUGCUCUCCGGAUCAGUGGCGAACGGGUGAGUAACACGUGAGUAACCUGCCCUUGACUCUGGGAUAAGCGUUGGAAACGACGUCUAAUACCGGAUACGAGCUUCAGCCGCAUGGCUAGGAGCUGGAAAGAAUUUCGGCAAGGAUGGACUCGCGGCCUAUCAGCCAGUUGGUGAGGUAAUGGCUCACCAAGGCGACGAUCCGUAACUGGUCUGAGAGGAUGAUCAGUCACACUGGAACUGAGACACGGUCCAGACUCCGUACGGGAGCAGCAGUGGGAAUAGUGACAUGGGCAAAGCCUAGAUCCAGCCAUGCCGCGUGUGUAGAAGAAGGUCUUCGGAUUGUAAAGCUAAGUUUAAGGUGGAAGGAGG